rnacentral:tRNA from 1 species
GGGCGAAUGGCUUAGUAGUAAAGUGCCUCGCGCCUCUUUAGCUAGUAUAGGCGAUGCGACAAUGUGGAAGAAAUUCAUCUACAGUCAUCAAUUCUUUGCUUGAAUAGAGGAGGCCCGGGGUUCGAUUCCCCGUGUUUGUCCA